CGUUUCCAUAAUACUUGCUUAUGUCUGAAAGUGUGCGCGAUUUCCUACUUGUUGGAUUUCCAAGUUGCCAUAUUUACAUUUCCACUUCACUGAAUUACUUCUGUAACCUUGUGCCUUAAUGAUGUCUGACCUUUAGCAAGAAAUCUGUGAGAAAAUCCCUCCACUUCACACUGUAUAAAAUGCAGAAACCAUAAUUUCUCUUUGUCCUCUCCCUGUGUGUACGUGGGUGUGUUUGCAUUUCUCAUUCCUAAAUCACAGAUCUAUUAAAAGCUCCCCCAUCCGACACCAUAAAUUUCAUUUGGACCCAGACUGUCCCCUGGGGUGGACGGUUUGGGAACGACCCGCUUAGAACAGGAUGGGAACACGCAGCCCAGCGCACAAACCUCUGACCUCAGAGAGGAAUAAAAUAAAUCAACAAACAACUGGCCGGAAGCUCCCUCUGUUUUUCCAUCUGUCUGUCUGGAAAAAAAGGGACAUUUUGUAAUUUUUUUACACCAGAAAUGGAAAGAGUUACUGAUUAAAACAUUAAUGUAAAGACACAGAGGGUCAACAGAGAUAAGAGAUAUGAUAAAUCACAGGAAAACAGAUAAUGAGCAUGUGGCAGAACAAGGCUUAAAUACUCUAUAAAUAUUUUGAAUGUAGGCUACCAGCUUGGAUUCUUGUCAUGUUUAAGCUUCAGCCUAUGAGGAAGAUAUUUAACAUUUAAUCCAUGGAUAAUCUUUGGAAAGGAAAGGACACACAUGCACAUAUUAGCAAUUUGGCAAACUUUCACUCAUAUGAACUGUGCUACGGUGUCUCUUUUGGGAUAUUUUUAGAUAUUCAACUCUACAUUUACUCUGUUUCAAACAAUGUUAAUACCUAAAUUCUCAGAUGGCUUUCUCACCAAGUGCUUGUAUAUACUGUAUCUCUUCAGAAAUAACACUGGAAUCUAAACAGAAAGGGUUGUGGUGAGGAGAGACUGAUGCAAUGCAGUGUGAACAUUGUCCUCUGAUGUGUCAUCAAUGUGGGACAGGUCACUGACAGCCACAUACUUCCACAGAAACAUCUGCAGACCAGAGCGGGUGCGCUUACAUUCACACAACACUCACUCACGUAAACUGUAAAAUCAUAGUGAGUGUCUCUGUGAGACGCCUGCUGAGGGUUUACAGCAUGUGACGUUGAGGAAGGCGGACGAAUUACAGAUGAGCUUCCAUACAGUGGAUCGCCCAGAGAGAGGUGACCUUCUGUUUAUAAAAGUCCACCGAGGAGAAGUCAAUUUCCUCAACAAGGCUGUUCUCUGACGUUGUACAUCGCACCCAUGGGCACGAAGGAGACGCAGAGGGAGAUGGAUCGAGCUGGAAACAGAAGGUGUCCACAGGAGAAUAAAGACGAAAAAAGUUUCAGAAAUGGGGGGAGGCUUGUUAUGGGACAUGACGUUGCCGUAUUUCUCAGCGAUCGGAGCUAAAGUAUGCUUAACCUUAGAGUCCCAUGAGGCAACAAUCUCCCAGCCACAACACGAAACAGUAUAUCUCAGGCUUAUUCUGCUCGUCUUGAUCUUGUUUGGCCUCGUUAUACACUCAACGCCAUGUGUUUGGCUGAUGAUAACACAGUCAGGUCACAGAUGGUAACACAAGGCCAUUGUCUACUGCCUUAACACACACACAAGGUCACACAGAUACUGACUGACUGUACUGUCAGUAGCAAAGUGUAACUAAUCUCUUUCUAGCUGUAAGAUGGAUAAGGUGAUGAUGACAACAUCAAGGUCAUUGAAUGACAUUCUGGGAAAUAUUUUAUGACAAAAUCAAAAGUAUACAUAUUAUACUUACAGACACACAUAUCAGUCCAAUCACUUGACGGUUCUCUAAGCCCCCCUCUUUCGCCUGUCAAUCUCUCCAUUCUCGCACGGCACACAUAAAGAUUUCAAUGUUAACUUGAAAUUCUUAGUAAUUUUUGAAACAGUAGGUCCUCAAUUUCAGACAAAGGCAGCUAAAAGCAGCUUCUCAUUUCUAAUCAGUUACUAAUACCAACAGUUGCUGCUUUUAUCAGCUGAAACUAGCGAGCUAUUUAAGCUAAUGUUAACUCUUUCAGUCUCCGAUUAAUUACAAUGAUUCCAGAUGACUUGUUUUAAAAAGUCAACACUGUAAAAGUUGUCUUAAAUAUACACGUGAUGGCUACAAUCAUAAUAUCAUUCUAAAAGACCUAGGCUAAAGCUGCAUGUCUCAAGCCGAAAAGUCAGCAUCCUCACUAGAAGAAACAAAGAAACAGCAUUGUUCUUCUCGAUUAUACCCCCGAACGGACACGUACACGGACAGCUGCGGACAGCUGCGGACAGGCAGUAGAUAGCUAUGCUACCACUUGUAGCGUAGUGGCUGCGCAGACAGGUCCGCAUGUUCACAACAAAUUGCCGGUACGCGGACGUUAGGACUGCACAAUUAAU